GAUGAAGAACGCAGCGAAAUGCGAUACGUAAUGUGAAUUGCAGAAUUCAGUGAAUCAUCGAAUCUUUGAACGCAUAUUGCGCUCUCUGGUAUUCCGGAGAGCAUGCUUGUUUGAGUAUCAGUAAACACCUCAACUUCCAUAUCUUUUUUUGAAAUGGGAGUUGGACUUGAGUGAUCCCAACGCUUUUCCUCACCGAAAAGUGGCGGGUUACUUGAAAUGCAGGUGCAGCUGGACUUUUCUCUGAGCUAUAAGCGUAUCUUUUUAGUCUGCCUAAAAAACAGAUUAUUACCUUUGCUGCAGCUAACAUAAAGGAGAUUAGUUCUUGUGCUGACUGAUGCAGGAUUCACAAAGACAGCUUCGGCCGACUUUGUAAACUCGAUCUCAAAUCAAGUAAGACUACCCGCUGAACUUAAGCAUAUCAAAAGCGGAGGA
rnacentral:misc_RNA from 1 species